AGUACAAAGGCAGUUACACUGCAAACUAGUAACAUAAAUUAGGUUAUAGUCACAAGCCCAUGACUUUUCCCUGAAUGCUUAUUUAGAGCAGCUGAUUUUUAAAGUUAGCAGAGUUAAUCUUUGGUAGUGGGUUCACUCACUCAUUUAAAGAUAUCGGCCAGAGGCAAAAUUUCUUUGAAAAGCAUGUGUAAAUGUGUAUUAAAAUCUCAGAUGAAAAAGGUUUUUGGAUUUUGACGGCUGGAAUUGUAAGAAAAUCUGAUGUUUGUGACCGGCGCAGGAAAAACAGAAGCUAACUUCCGGUCUAAGCCCUGGGCAGCAGUUGACGUUUCACAUGGAGCUCUGCUGAAACAGCUGUAGUAAACAACGCCUGACUCCGCUGUUUCUUCGUUAGCGUUAUAGCAGAGAACAAUGUGUCAUCAAUCAGAUGUAGCUUCUGAAGCCUCUACUAGUCCAUCAGAUUUGUUUUUUCUCUGGGAUACGGCGACGAGAACGGAUAUUAGAUUACUGGAGAAGUUCAACUGAACUCCGACCCCGCCAGCUGGAUAUCACUACCAGAGGUGCAGACAUGUUUUAGACCGUUUGACUCAGAAGACCUGCAACCUGAUUUGGACAUAGAGGAGGAUUCUGUUCAUCUUCAGAACCAAAAUCGGUACAGUUUGUUUACUUUUCUUAAAUAUUUCAUUUCUGUGCUCCACUGGGAGCUCUAAGCUAACAAGUUUUCAGCUGGUUUUAGCUUCAUCAUGUGUCCCAAUAUAAUUCAGUAAUCUACAGUUUUACUGCUGUGUGUAUUUAUUGACAUAACUCUGAAAAAUAAUGAACCUACAAUUUACCAGAAUAAAUCUUCCUGAUUCUGGAGUAACUCCUUAGCUCAACUCAUUGUUUGCACUAAUCCGGGAUGUCAUGGAGGUUCUAAUGUUGAAAUAUAGAGAUCAUCUUUUAGAUUAUAUCUGUGUGUGUGUGUGUGUGUGAGUGCGUGCGUGCGUGCGUGUGUGUCGUAGCUUUCCCAAAGGACUUGUUCUUUCCUUACCGGAGCGAACACGGUUAGUUUUGCUGCAGUCAUGCUAACGGGACUCGUCUGGAGUCCAGAAGUAGCGGUGCGGUUCUAGAUGGAUUUAUAGAUGUAGGUUAUUAUUUUAGAUCAGACCUGUUAUUUAAAAAUGCGUGUAGGACACAGACACAUGGCUCAGACCUUUUGCUGCAGCUGUAAACCAUAGACUGUACAUACUGGACAAACGGAUUCCAUUGGCUUCAAUAACACGUUUGUUGUCUAUAAUGGGAGGUGGCCACCACCGCCAUUUUGACCGUGUCACAGGUUCCGUCCAGCCCAGACAAUUCCAUAAAAGGGAAGAGAGGAGGUGCUGAGGGUGUGGCUGUAAGGCUGGGCUCGAGUGACGACACCCAGGCGAACUAGCUACGAGCUAACCUGAAGCUAACCCUGGCUAACCCAAAGCUAAAGCGGAGGUGGGAGCCGAGCUAACGGAUGUAGCCACCUAGCUUCAACCCAACCGGAGCUAACUGGAACACCCAUCGACCUGAACCUCACACGGAGUUUAGGUGGAGGUUUUCUGCGCCUGUUCGUGAGAAGUACCUGUAUUAAAAAAGUUUUAAAUCGAUCUAUUAAAAGGUCACCAUGGCAGCCUGUGUGUCAACGUCAGCUACACAAAGCAAGUGUAAGUACCAAGUACUUGUCUUGACCACUUCAUGAAUGGUUUUGUACUCUAAACAGCUAGGCCAAACCUGUUAUUUUUUCCUCCAUAGCCAUUUGGAUCAUUGGAGACAGCUGAGUGAGGCGUGGUGCCCAGAGAGCUGCAGAGACAACCUUGGCCUCCCUGACGUCUGUGUCUCUUGGUUUGGUUGGGGCGGACCAUCGACAUACAUACAUACAUGUGCCGACACUUUGCGCCCUGUUUUAUAAACUGUAGUGUUAAAAAUAAAUGUUUUUGCUCAA